rnacentral:rRNA from 2 species
GUGCUUGCAGCUCAGCGUGUUCAAAGUGCGAGUGGCGAACGGGUGAGUAACACGUGGGCAAUCUGCCCAAAAGUGGGGGAUAACACUUGGAAACAGGUGCUAAUACCGCAUCAACCGGCUGACCGCAUGGUCGGCCGGGCAAAGACGGCGUCAGCUGUCGCUUUUGGAUGAGCCCGCGGCGUAUUAACUAGUUGGUAAGGUAACGGCUUACCAAGGUGAUGAUACGUAGCCGAACUGAGAGGUUGAUCGGCCACAUUGGGACUGAGACACGGCCCAAACUCCUACGGGAGGCAGCAGUAGGGAAUCUUCCACAAUGGACGCAAGUCUGAUGGAGCAACGCCGCGUGUAUGAAGAAGGUCUUCGGAUCGUAAAAUACUGUUGUCAGAGAAGAACACGUGAUAGAGUAACUGCUAUGACGCUGACGGUAUCUGACCAGCAAGUCACGGCUAACUACGUGCCAGCAGCCGCGGUAAUACGUAGGUGGCAAGCGUUGUCCGGAUUUAUUGGGCGUAAAGGGAACGCAGGCGGUCUUUUAAGUCUGAUGUGAAAGCCUUCGGCUUAACCGGAGAAGUGCAUUGGAAACUGGAAGACUUGAGUGCAGAAGAGGAGAGUGGAACUCCAUGUGUAGCGGUGAAAUGCGUAGAUAUAUGGAAGAACACCAGUGGCGAAAGCGGCUCUCUGGUCUGUAACUGACGCUG